CCAAUGCAGCUGCUUUACUUCCUCUUCUGCUUCGUCUUGAUUCCAAUUUCAAAUUCAAAAUUCAAAUUCAUAUCAUGUAAUCGGAUUCAAACUCUUCAAUCUCUUUCAUGUCAAAACUCUCCAACCUCGCACCUCCGUCUGCUCCAUGUAAUUCCCUCCCCCCUCUCUCCCUUCGCGAAUCUCUGUCUUUCUUCCUGAAUCUCUCUCUCUCUCUCCUCUAUCUCCCUCUCUCCGGCUGUGUCCCAUAUCUCUCUCUGUUUCUUCAUAUCUGGGUCACUCUCUCUCUCUCUCUCUAUUUCACUGGCCCUCUUUUUUAGUAUAUAUACAGCAGAGGCUAAUGAAUUUUGAAGGAAUGAUGAAAGUUGUGGACUAGAGCAGGAGAGGUACAAGAUAAGUGAAUUUGGAGAAUUUUGUUGGGUUGGGCUGUAAAUAGAAGGGACCUUACUAACACAGUCAACUCGAGCUUUCCCUAAAAUUUCGAAGCUUCCAAAGAUGCCACUGAAGCAUAAGUGUCUAAAACGAUGGUUUGGAAGUGAUGGGGUUUUCUUUUACUGAUUUAGGUAUCUACUCUCAUCACAAUGGGCGUUUCUCUUGAGGAUUCAUUUAGAAGUGAUGAUAUAAAUGCUCCAUACCUGGGCACAGAGCUGCCUAGCUUGCCGAGUGUAUGCAUGUCAACUACGUAUUAUUUCUACCUUACCUUAGUUUUUAUACACUGUUACUUGCACAAAGUGUUGAGUUUAAUUUCUUAUUUGAGUUUAAUAACUUAUUUGCCUGUUGGAAUGAAUUUUAUACACACCGAGUAUAUUGAAAUUAAACAGUAAUACAACACUCCCACACACCGAGGAAUAAGUACUUCUGAGGUGUAUAACUUCUGGCUCGAGUUCUUCACAUCUGUGAGGAAUCACCAACUAUUUUAUGUGUGCGUGUCAAAAAAUACUACUUAAAUUAAUUAGUCUAAACAUAUAACUUUUACUAUUUCGUAUUCAUACAACAUCAUGUUGGAUGCGUCUCAAUAACCUUUCUUCUGUAUCAUUUCCACAAGUGUAUAUGUCUCGAGGAAAAAGCCACUUUCAAAAUAGACGAAGGACUACAAUCUUUCAGUUUGUCACAAAAGAGCCACUACUGACCAACAUGGGCAUUUCUUUUACGGAGGUUGCUGUUGGGGCUGGCUAUGCUAUUACUUAAAUGGAGUUCCAAUUGGAGUUUUGCUUGGCUAUUCUAACCAGUUGCAAUUUAAAGGGAGUGUCUUCAUCUCCCUCUGAGUUAUAUUGACUUGAUUGAAUGUGUAGUUUUCUUUAAAAAAUUUGUACAAAUUACAAAUAUUUUAAGUUUAGUAGAGCAUUUGUAUUAUCUGGACUGAUGCUAAUGUAAUAGUAUUUUGUUUAGAUAUGAGGAUGAGCUAAUGGAGCCGGAGCUUGAUAUGAGGAAUUUCUUUUCAACUGUCUGAAUUUAUUGAUGCUUUUUGUGAUAUUUGUGUGUGUAUUGAAAUUAUGAGUGAUUAAUAUGUAGGAAGGAGCAGAGGUGGAUGUUGAUGCAGAUGCAAAUAGGGAAGAUGAUUUGGCUGAUCCUCUGUUGGCUGACGGUGAAGAGAAACAGGAAGAGAAACCAGCAGAACGGCCUCGGAAAACAUUAAAAAAUAUGACAAGGUAUGAACGUGCAAGAAUCCUAGGGACACGGGCCCUGCAGAUAAGGAAGGUUCUUAUCUUAUUGAAAUAUUUGUUUAAGUAUUAUUUUGGGUUCAACUUGAUAUUUCUGAAUAAAAUUUACCCUGGCUUUACUAAAUCAGCAUGAAUGCUCCUGUGAUUGUUGAGUUGGAGGGUGAAACUGAUCCAAUUGAGGUAAAUAAUACCUUCAAAUCUUUUUUCUUUUCACUCUUAAGAGAACUCCACCCUGAACUAGGCUCAAACAACCCACAUCGUCACCUUUUUUUGGUGUAAUAGUGUUUCUUUAUGUUCUGAAAUUAGUUGUUUGUGAUCUUAUCCUUUAUCCGAAAAGAGGCCAGGUGUUCUCUUGAAGUAACUGCUACUCCCUCUGUCCCAUUUUAACUGAUGUUUGACUUUUUAACACGUAUAUUUAGGUGUAAAAAUGACAUACCUACACUUAAUAAAAAUAUUCAAUUCUUAUAUCAAAUAAAAAUUUAGAUUCUAAACUUUUAUUUGAUAUAAAUUUUAUAAAAAAUAGUUAUGUUUAGAUGUGAUUUUUUUAACAUCUUAAAAUACGUGUAAAAAAGUCAAAAGCAGUUAAAAUGGGACGGAGGGAGUAUAUGAAACAUUAAAAUCAAUUCAUCUUUUUGAGAUUACUUGCAUAAUUAAUGGCAUGAUCUCCAAUUAUCUUGCUUAUCUGACAAGCAAUGAACAUUGACGACUUGCUGCUUCCAAAUUUGCUGAGUUCUUUUUGCAAAUAAAGAAAUUUAGAAAAAGUGAAAUUCUAAAUUUCAGAAGGGUGGUGUUGGAAAUUAUUUAUGGCAAGAGAUCAAAGGGUACAAGUGAAUAGGAGUGUAGUUCUGGACUUGAUUUUCAAAUUAUAUGUCAAGGCUUACGGGGAAAGGCACUAAGAUCUUCCCCCCAUUAACAAACCCCAUAGGAAAUUAGGAACUCAUUUUUUCUCUAGGCUAUGACUAUUAUGGUGAUAUGUGGAUGUGCAUGUGUGAUGUCUGGCUAUUCAAUGUCUAGGCUCUGUCUCCUAAGAUUCAUAUUUUGGAUGUGCAUGUGUGAUGUCUGGCUAUUCAAUGUCUAGGCUCUGUCUCCCAGUAAGAUUCAUAUUUUGCUAUUGACGUUUAAUUUGUAAGAUUCAUAUUUUGCUACUGACGUUUAAUUUGUAGAAAUUUAAUGUGAUACUGAUUUCUUGCUUUUGACUAA